rnacentral:lncRNA from 1 species
CUCACACAGAAAAUGGAGUUCAGUCCUCAUGCCACUGUACUUUUGUUGUUUUACUGUAAAUGUUCUUUGAAUCCUCAGCAGCAGCAAAGGGAACCACAAUUUCCAGAACUUCCUGAUACGGGGGGCUGCAUUUGGCGCAGCCCAGUGGUCUUGGCCUUCUGCUGACAACGUGCUCUGCUCUUCCAUUUUAUUUACUCCUUUCUUCAGAAACCUCCCAUAUGGACAAUUAGGACUGCGAUUUACACUGGUUUUCGUCCGCUUUGCGCCCAGCAAGCGGCUCCGCCCUUCAUAGGACACCCAGCUGUGGCUGCCGCUUCCGAGGACGGGAGGACGGAUUCCACCAUUGAGCAUAGCAGCCUGCAAGGGAUGGCGGAGCGCACAUCAGAGCCGCUUGGUAGUCAGAGGAGCAUGCCUGGUGUGUGAGGAGAGCAGGAAAAGCAAACAGGGAGGGGUCAGGCUGCAACACACUGAGAGAAAAGAAGUAACCAGAGCUGCUAGGGAGCGAACGCAGUCAAGACAGGACGGCUAUGGGGUCAAACCUUUUUGGGCAGAGGGCAAAAAUUCCACAUUUCACUUAGAAAGAUGAAAAUAUAAGGGAUGCUCUUUGUACCUCUGUCAAGUUCCAGAUAAUAGUGUGGUUUUCUUUCUAACUCUUCGCUGCAACCAAAGGGAUAAUAGAGUUUGGGAUUACAGUUUCUGUCACAUUCACAGGAAUUUGAGACUAACCGCAGUCUUGGGGCACAACAGUGAGAAAACGCUUUCCAGCUGCACGACCAUACUUGGCGACCCAGUUGAGAAGUGCUCUAACAAAGCUGCCAGUCUCAGUCCGGGCUGGACGUGUGCCAUUGGAAACAGAAGUGCAACUUUAUCACUUGACUUCAAGAAGAGGUUUCCCAGUGGCAUAUGGAGACAAUAUACAAGCCAGGCCCCGUGGAGGAAGCUCCUCUUUCAUGGAAGGGAGUUGGGGAGGGCCCUCCACCCCAACAGGCUUGAGUCUGUGAUGAGCAAGGAAGGGAGCUAUAAGGCUAAAGAGGGGCCAGACCAAUAUUUCUUUCAUGUAGGAAAAAUUCAGUUGAUUUCUGCCUGAAUUAUAGCACAGCAGAUUAAAUGUGAGGCUUUAUAUAUACUCAGGAGAAAGAGAUUAAAUAAAAGUGGACCUCACAGACCAGCACCAACAAAACCUUUCCUCAACAUAUGAGGUAUCACUUUCAGAAUUUUCCCCCAAGGGCUUGCUACACUUGUAGAGAAAGGAGCACCAAAAUACUUUUCGUUGUAUUUUUGUAGCAGUUAUGAAUUCCAAAAAUAGAUACUGGAUUAUGUUUGUAAACGCGUGUGUACCUGGGUGGGAUUAAAUUAUGAUUAGGGCUCUGAUUGGGCCACAUCAGUAGGGUAUUGAGUCCCCACCUCUGGGUGGGUAGGGCUCAAAGAUAAAAGGCAUGGCAAAGGGCAGAGCUGGAGGCUUUUGAUGUUAGAGUUUUGAUGUUGGAGUUUGAU